GACGGAGGAGGCAAGCGUUAUCCGGAAUUAUUGGGCGUAAAGGGUACGUAGGCGGCUGGUCAAGUCUGGGGUCAAAGGCCACAGCUCAACUGUGGGAAGGCCCUGGAAACUGACCGGCUAGAGUGAGGUAGGGGUUGCGGGAAUUCCCGGUGUAGCGGUGAAAUGCGUAGAGAUCGGGAAGAACACCUGAGGCGGAAGCGACCAACGGGGCCUCAAUUGACGUUGAGGUACGAAAGCUAGGGGAGCGAAUGGG
rnacentral:rRNA from 1 species